UACGGGGGGGGCAAGCGUUGUUCGGAAUUACUGGGCGUAAAGGGCGCGUAGGCGGCCUGCUAAGUCGGACGUGAAAUCCCUCGGCUCAACCGAGGAACUGCGUCCGAUACUGGUGGGCUUGAAUCCGGGAGAGGGAUGUGGAAUUCCAGGUGUAGCGGUGAAAUGCGUAGAUAUCUGGAGGAACACCGAUGGCGAAGGCAGCCUUCUGGGCCAACACUGACGCUCAUGCACGAAAGCGUGGGGAGCAAACAGG
rnacentral:rRNA from 1 species